rnacentral:RNase_P_RNA from 1 species
ACUGUCGAUCGGACCGUCGCGCCCGGAUUCGUCCAGGUGAGGAAAGUCCGAACACCACAGGGCAUCGUGCUUCCUAACAGGAAGGACCGGGCCGUUGGCCCGGGACGACACGUGCAACAGAAAACAGACCAGCCGAUGGCCUUUCGGGGCACAGGUGAUGGGUGAAACGGCGGGGUAAGAGCCCACCGGCGUUCCGGGUGACCGGGGCGGCCAGGCAAACUCCACGAGGUGCAAGAUCAAGCAGCGUCGCGCGCGACCCGGGUUUCGACCCGGACUUUCGCGCGGGGAACGGCCCGUUCCACUCCGACGCGGGUAGAUCGCUCGAGGCGAACGGUGACGUUCGUCCCAGAUAAAUGACGGUCUCUCCGGUGCGCGCCCGGCAGCCGCCCGGACAGACAGAAUUCGGCUUACAGAUCGACAGUCGCC